UACUUCACUUUCCUUCCAUGAUAGGCUGAGCUCAACGAGGAGUUGAUAUCACUGCCGCCAGGGGAAAGCAAAUGUGUCCAUCAAUCUCGAUCUGCCUCCUAAUGCAAGUCAAUGGUGUUGCCUUCUUAAGUAGCUCCCAUUAAUCAUUAUCAACAUCCAGCAGAAUGAGUCUGAAUUAACUCCCCAUCAACUCACCGGGAGGAAGAGGAGAUUGAUUAAUGUGGAGGUCAUAGCCCUAUCUAAUGUUAGCUUUGCAAUUGUACCUUUAGCAGGUGAAACUAAUAUUUAUACCGUAAAAUUAAACAAGGGAGAUGAUUUAGUCGAUCCAUUCAGACUUAAUCAAUAAUAUCAUGAUAUCUUGGACGAUUGGACAUGUGAAAAGAGCCCUAAUGGUCAAUGUGACAAGAUAUAUCUUAGAUGGUUACGAGAAAAUGGAAGUAGAAGUCGAUUCAGAAACAAAUAUGGUAA